UACGUAGGGUGCGAGCGUUAAUCGGAAUUACUGGGCGUAAAGCGUGCGCAGGCGGUGAUGUAAGACCGAUGUGAAAUCCCCCGGGCUUAACCUGGGAACUGCAUUGGUGACUGCAUUGCUGGAGUAUGGCAGAGGGGGGGUGGAAUUCCACGUGUAGCAGUGAAAUGCGUAGAGAUGUGGAGGAAUACCGAUGGCGAAGGCAGCCCCCUGGGAUAACACUGACGCUCAUGCACGAAAGCGUGGGAGCAAACAGG
rnacentral:rRNA from 1 species